GAUGAAGAACGUAGUGAAAUGCGAUAAGUAGUGUGAAUUGCAGAAUUCAGUGAAUCAUCAAAUCUUUGAACGCACAUUGCGCCCCUUGGUAUUCCAUGGGGCAUGCCUGUUCGAGCGUCAUUUGUACCCUCAAGCUAUGCUUGGUGUUGGGUGUUUGUCCUCUCCUUUUGCGAUUGGACUCGCCUUAAAGACAUUGGCAGCCAGUGUAUUGGUCUUGAAGCGCAGCACAUUUUGCGAUUCUUGCUGAUAAUCACUAGCGUCCAGUAAGCCUAUUUUAACACUUUUGACCUCGGAUCAGGUAGGGAUACCCGCUGAACUUAAGCAUAUCAAUAAGCGGAGGA
rnacentral:misc_RNA from 1 species